UACGUAGGGUGCGAGCGUUGUCCGGAAUUAUUGGGCGUAAAGAGCUUGUAGGCGGUUUGUCGCGUCUGCUGUGAAAAUCCGAGGCUCAACCUCGGACUUGCAGUGGGUACGGGCAGACUAGAGUGUGGUAGGGGAGACUGGAAUUCCUGGUGUAGCGGUGAAAUGCGCAGAUAUCAGGAGGAACACCGAUGGCGAAGGCAGGUCCCUGGGCCACUACUGACGCUGAGGCGCGAAAGUGUGGGGAGCAAACAGGAUUAGAUACCCCU
rnacentral:rRNA from 1 species